UCGGGGCUCGUCUAAUGGUAGGACCGCAGAUUCUGGAUCUGCUUAUUGGGGUUCGAAUCCCUAGCCCCGAG
rnacentral:tRNA from 1 species